GGUAGAUAUAUUAAUUUUAUUUCUGUAAAUACAGUAGAACAUCACUUCCGUUAUUUUAAAUUCAUUAAUUCCUAAGAGUCUUUAUUUACAAUUUUAUGCAUUUACAAUUAGCAUUUCUCAGUUUCUGCUGCCAUAAAGAAAUAAUUCAUGAAAUCUUUAAGUUAAAAUGCUCUCUUUUUACUGCUUUUUAUAUAGAUUUGACCAUAUUAUAUGAGUUACAAAUUGACUUUUUGUUAUUUGAUGACGAAAAAGUGUUACUCGGGAGAAAAAAAACAUAUAUAUUCUUGGGCAAUGGGAAGAUUUCCCUAUCAUGAUCUGUAGCUGAAUAAUCUACAAAUAUUUUCAACUUCCGGGCAGUGGUUUACAAGGUACUGGACACAUUACAGACGAGGACCAACUUGAAG